GACAGAGGGUGCAAACGUUGUUCGGAAUUACUGGGCGUAAAGCGUGUGUAGGCGGCUUUGCAAGUCGGGUGUGAAAGCCCCAGGCUCAACCUGGGAAGUGCACUCGAUACUGCUAAGCUAGAGUGUCGGAGAGGUUGGUGGAAUUCUCGGUGUAGAGGUGAAAUUCGUAGAUAUCGAGAGGAACACCGGUGGCGAAGGCGGCCAACUGGACGAACACUGACGCUGAGACACGAAAGCGUGGGGAGCAAACAGG
rnacentral:rRNA from 1 species